rnacentral:rRNA from 1 species
GUGUCAGCAGCCGCGGUAAUACAGAGGGUGCGAGCGUUGUCCGGAAUCACUGGGCGUAAAGGGCGCGUAGGUGGUGGCUUAAGCGUGCGGUGAAAGCUCGGAGCUCAACUCCGAGUCGGCCGUGCGAACUGGGCUCACUGGAGCAUAGUAGAGGCAGGUGGAAUUCCGGGUGUAGCGGUGGAAUGCGUAGAGAUCCGGAAGAACACCGGUGGCGAAGGCGGCCUGCUGGGCUAUGGCUGACACUGAGGCGCGACAGCGUGGGGAGCAAACAGGAUUAGAAACCCCCGUAGUCC